rnacentral:rRNA from 1 species
GAUGAACGCUGGCGGCGUGCCUAACACAUGCAAGUCGAGCGGGAUUGUGGAGUAGCUUGCUACGAAGCAGUCUAGCGGCGGACGGGUGAGUAACGCGUGGGCAACCUGCCCUAUACAGGGGGAUAACACACCGAAAGGUGUGCUAAUACCCCAUAACACCGAUGCUUCGCAUGGAGCGCCGGUCAAAGAUUUAUCGGUAUAGGAUGGGCCCGCGUCUGAUUAGCUUGUUGGUGAGGUAAUGGCUCACCAAGGCAACGAUCAGUAGCCGACCUGAGAGGGUGAUCGGCCACACUGGAACUGAGACACGGUCCAGACUCCUACGGGAGGCAGCAGUGGGGAAUAUUGCACAAUGGGCGAAAGCCUGAUGCAGCAACGCCGCGUGAGCGAUGAAGG